CACAGAUUCACCACCCUCUGACUAAAGAAAUUUCUCCUCAUCUCCUUCCUAAAGACUGGGGACUUUGGACUUCCUACAAGAUAUGAGUGCAAGGGUGCAAACGUGCCAGGAUCUCGACCCGAAAUGUCACGCAUUCCUUCUCUCCAGAGAUGCUGCCUGUCCCGCUGAGCUGCUCCAGCAUUUUGUGUCUACUAAAGAUGGCAUGCUUGCUGAAAUUCUCAAACUUGGCUAAAAAAAGUGAUUUCUGGGAUAACUUUACCACCUCCUGGAUGAGGAUGACAACAGGAAAAUAGUCAAUGAAAUCGUCUUCAAGAGCCAAAUCCAAUUGGGCCAACUACAAUACCAUGUCUGUUCCCAGCUAUGCCAGAGAGCUAUACCAUAAUUGUGGGAUAGAUCUUGUCCAUCAGACAUAAUGUCAUUGGAUCUUCAUUGUGUGCCAGCACUCAAUUUCCAUUUCAAGCUUAUUUCCCUCUGAAGGGUUCAGGACAAAUCCCCUGUAGGUUUGUAUGGGCAAGCUGAGCAGUCUCUGGGCAGGAGGUGGAGCUUUAAGUUGUUAAUGAAGUCCUGCAGUCAUUAAUUACAGGGCCUCCAUGAUCCCAUCAUUAGUGGAUUAUUCAGUUGACCUACAAUGACCGCACAUAUCUUGCCUUGCUCUGUUGAAAGUGAAGUCAAUCUUUUGCCUGAUUUUGAAUGACCUUGCACAAAAGAUACUUCCUUAUAUUUACAGCUAUCUGCUCCAUUAAUCAACAAGCACAAAAGGCACAAAUAAGCGUACUAAUAAAGCAUGAAGUAGGACAUUAGGCCCCUCAAACCCUCCCCGCUAUUAAAGAUCAUAAGAUGGUCUUGACGCUGGGUUUCGACCCCAAAUAUCAACAGUUGCUUCCCCCUCUACAGCUGCUGCUCAACCUACUGAUUUUUUCCAGUGGAUUAUUUGUUGCUCUACAUUGUAACACCUGUAGUCUCUUGUGUCUCCUUUACAAAGAUCAUGGCUGGUUUGUUUAUCGUCCACAUAUUGUCACCUAUCCAUGAUAAUCUUUCACUCCUUUGCUUAUCAUGUGAUAACUUCUGCCUUAAAGCAUAUUCACAAGGCUCUGCCUUUGAAAAAGUUCCAAAAACUCGAAACACUCUUGUAGAAUAAAAACCUCAACUCUGCGUAAAAUAGUCAACCACUUAUUUUUAGACAAUGGUCCGUGGUUCAAUUAUCUCCCACAAGAGGCACCAAUCUCUCUAUAUCCACACAUGAUCCCUCUGGAUCUUAUGUUUCAACUACCACUCUUCGAAACUCCAGCAGAUUCAUCUCAAUCCUGUCUAAAGGGCCUGUCCCACUUGGGCGUCAUUUGCGCGUCACGCAGGUGGCGGGUGAGGAUUUUGAGCAUCACAAAAUCCUGGGACGCCGCGCGCUACUGCAUUAGCCACCACGCCUCAACACACACCUUGCGCGUGUCAUGCACGCUAUGCGCGUGUCAUGACGCGCCAACCAAUUUUUAGGAUGUCGCGUAAAUGACGCCCAAAUUACGCCCAAAUGGGACAGGCCCUUUACCUCUCUUCACAAUACAACUCUCCCAUUACAUCCCAUUUACACCUCAGCGGUAUGAACAUUGACUUCUCUAACUUCAAGUAGCCCUAGCUUUCCCUGUCUCUUCAUCGCCCCCCCCCCCCCUUCCCAGUUCUCCUACUAGUCUUACUGCCUCAUUUUAUCUCUGUACCGCUCACUCCCCUGACAUCAGUCUGUGGAAAGGUCUCAAUCUCAACCUGAAACGUCACCUAUUCCUUCUCUCCAGAGAUGCUGCCUGUCCCGCUGAGUUACUCCAGUAUUUUGUGUCUACCUCCCAUUACAGAACUUGAUUUCACUUCAGACAUUUGAUUGCAAAACACUGCUUAUUUCAGGAAGAUGCAAUUGUAAAUGAAAACCAGGUUCAAGAGCAGCUACUUCCCAACAACUGUCAGGCUCUUGAACACUAACCACAGCAACAAUGUGUUGUUUUGGUUACAGACGUGUUACUCUGCAGCAAGUAAGAAUCUCAAUGUUCCGUUGUUGAUACAUACUAUUUAAGUCUCUCUCUCUCUCUCUCUCUCUCUAUCCCUCACUUAUCAUUUGUACCAUUCUGGACUGAGUACUUUUGACUUCCUGGCAUAAGAAAUGCUUGUUCACCUGAUGUUUCCCUGUUUCCAUAAAACCAGACAACAAAAGAUUUAAUUUCCCAUUCCAGGUCUUGGUCUUGCAAAGCUAUGAACUAAUGCAGAAUCUAGGUCGGAAGAAGGGUUACGACCCGAAACGUCACCAAUUCCUUCUCUCCAGAGACGCUGAGUUACUCCAGCAUUUUGUGUCGACCUGUGAACUUCUAAUGCAGUACCAUACUUUAAAUGAAAGAGACCGACAAUGUAUGCAGUACUUUUGAUGAGAUUUCAGCAGUGCCCAAUAUAACUAAAGAUGGAGAAAUCAAGGAAAAGAAUUCUAGGAUUUAGGUUUUAAAAGUCUUCUGCCAAUGAUGAAAGAGUUGGGGGAAGGGAGAUAAUUAAUUGGGACAAUUUCAGUGUUGCUGUAAUUGUCUACUAAUCAUGUUUGCUUACUUACAAAGAUUGUUUUACAAUGAUUGCUAUACAUUGUGCAAUAAUGUUUUGGGGCCAAAACUGAAAUUGAUUUUUUUUUGACCAAUCAACAUUUUUUUUUAAAUCUUCCGAAAACCUAGCAAAGUUAAUAAUGAACAAGUUGCAUAUACAAUAUAACAUUUAUUCUGAUUAUACAACCUCAAAAUAUACAGUUUUACAAUUGACUUCUACAGUUUGAUGAAAAAUAACUGACCUUUUA